rnacentral:rRNA from 1 species
AUUGAACGCUGGCGGCAGGCCUAACACAUGCAAGUCGAGCGGAUGAAGCGAGCUUGCUCCUGGAUUCAGCGGCGGACGGGUGAGUAAUGCCUAGGAAUCUGCCUGGUAGUGGGGGAUAACGUCCGGAAACGGGCGCUAAUACCGCAUACGUCCUGAGGGAGAAAGUGGGUGAUCUUCGGACCUCUCGCUAUCAGAUGAGCCUAGGUCGGAUUAGCUAGUUGGUGGGGUAAAGGCCUACCAAGGCGACGAUCCGUAACUGGUCUGAGAGGAUGAUCAGUCAGACUGGAACUGAGACACGGUCCAGACUCCUACGGGAGGCAGCAGUGGGGAAUAUUGGACGAUGGGGGAGAGGCUGAUCCAGGCAUGCCGCGUGUGUGAAGAAGGUCUUCGGAUUGUAAAGCACUUUAAGUUGGGAGGAAGGGCAGUAAGUUAAUACCUUGCUGUUUUGACGUUACCAACAGAAUAAGCACCGGCUAACUUCGUG